UCCUGGUUCAUAGGUUAAUGCUCAACCACUGAGCCACGCCAGUCAGGCAAUGCUUAUAACAUUUUAAUGAGCUCUGGUUCUACAUUUAAAUU